rnacentral:sRNA from 1 species
ACCAGGUGCAGUGGCGCACACCUGUAAUCCCAGUGACACGGGAGGCUGAGGCAGGAGGAUCAGGAGUUCAAAGCUAGCCUCAGCAAUCAAUGGCCAGGCACUAAGCAACUCAGUGAGACCCUGUCUCUA